rnacentral:misc_RNA from 1 species
GAGCUGAUGUGCUUUGAUCUUCUCUUCCAUUUCUGAUAAAUCAAUGCUUCUCACUGAAGAUUCUGGAACUACAUUCAGAGUUGAUGAGGAUUCUUCAACUCCUGAUGUUUCUUUCUGAGUCUCGGAGCUUUCCUUUACAUCUAUUGAUUCCUUUUCAAUCUUUAUGAAUUCUCCAUCCAAUGAUACUUCUUCUUCACUGUCUUCUUUGUUUCCUUCUUUUUCUUGUUUGUGGGCAUCACCAUUGAUUAGAACCUCUCUUUCAUCUCCAUCCACCUCAGCUUUGUUCGGCAACUUGACUUGAACUUCCGCAGGCGUCGCGUGCUUCUCCUCCUCCAUUUCAACGCAACACACUGCCUCCUUCACUCCCUGGAUGAGAUCUCUUUGUGAUCUAAUCGCUUGCGCCUCG